CCUGUCCGACCCGACGGCAUGCCCCAUCCCGUUCCACCUGAUCAACCCGAUCGCCGUCGGGUCACCCGACGU
rnacentral:sRNA from 1 species